rnacentral:rRNA from 1 species
AUGUACAAAAGCCUCAAAGGGCACCAGAUUCUCUGUGAUGUGCUCAAAAAGCAGAUCCUCAACAGAAACCCUAGGAAAGAGGGUAUUGCCUUUGAGAGGAAACUUAAUGCUGAUGGAACAUAUUGGAAGCCCGAGCAGUACCCCAAAACCUCAUGGGUUGCUGCAAAGGGACCUCCAGUUGAUCCAUCCAUGUUAUCUGGCUUUACAUGUGAAUCUCCUCAUUCUUCUGAUGAGUCAUUUGACUCCAACUAUAAACUGUUCAAAAAUCAGAAUGGUGAAGUAUUUGCUAGAUAUGUUGGGACUAACUGCAGGAAUGGUUCCCCUAUGAAGAAAAUCUGGGUUCCCAAAAGUUAUGUUGAAAGUCUUCAGGUGAAUGUCCUCAUGACACCACCUGUGAAGAAGAGGAACCCCAGAACAAACUCUUCAUAUGGACCUAAUUCUUCAUAUGGAUCCAAGUCCUCAUAUGGACCAAAUUCCUCACGUGGAUCAAAUUCCUCAAAUGGAUCAAAGUCCUCAUAUGAUUAUCAUCGUGCUAACAAGUCUGUUUCGCAGGGUAGAGCUAAGGGCUACGAAUAUGCAUAUUAUUCUUCAAAUCAUUAUGUUCAUAAGUCCUCGAAGAAUUUCUCUGCUUAUUCAUAUGCUUACCCUAACCCCUCUUAUGUGAAAUGA